CGGAAGAAAGCGGGGGAUCCUUCGGGACCUCGCGCUAUAGGGGCGGCCGAUGGCAGAUUAGCUAGUUGGUGGGGUAAAGGCCUACCAAGGCGACGAUCUGUAGCUGGUCUGAGAGGACGACCAGCCACACUGGGACUGAGGCACGGCCCAGACUCCUACGGGAGGCAGCAGUGGGGAAUUUUGGACAAUGGGGGCAACCCUGAUCCAGCAAUGCCGCGUGUGUGAAGAAGGCCUUCGGGUUGUAAAGCACUUUUGUCCGGAAAGAAAACCUACCUGUUAAUACCGGGUGGGGAUGACGGUACCGGAAGAAUAAGCACCGGCUAACUACGUGCCAGCAGCCGCGGUAAUACGUAGGGUGCGAGCGUUAAUCGGAAUUACUGGGCGUAAAGCGUGCGCAGGCGGUCUGUUAAGACCGAUGUGAAAUCCCCGGGCUUAACCUGGGAACUGCAUUGGUGACUGGCAGGCUAGAGUAUGGCAGAGGGGGGUAGAAUUCCACGUGUAGCAGUGAAAUGCGUAGAGAUGUGGAGGAAUACCGAUGGCGAAGGCAGCCCCCUGGGCCAAUACUGACGCUCAUGCACGAAAGCGUGGGGAGCAAACAGGAUUAGAUACCCUGGUAGUCCACGCCCUAAACGAUGUCAACUAGUUGUUGGGGAUUCAUUUCCUUAGUAACGUAGCUAACGCGUGAAGUUGACCGCCUGGGGAGUACGGUCGCAAGAUUAAAACUCAAAGGAAUUGACGGGGACCCGCACAAGCGGUGGAUGAUGUGGAUUAAUUCGAUGCAACGCGAAAAACCUUACCUACCCUUGACAUGGACGAAACCCGGGUGAGAGCCUGGGGUGCUCGAAAGAGAAUCGUCGCACAGGUGCUGCAUGGCUGUCGUCAGCUCGUGU
rnacentral:rRNA from 1 species